GAUGAACGCUAGCGGCAGGCCUAAUACAUGCAAGUCGAACGAUACCAGAGAGCUUGCUUUCUGGGAAAGUGGCGCACGGGUGCGUAACGCGUAUGCAACCUACCUUAAUCAGGGGGAUAGCCUCUCGAAAGAGAGAUUAACACCGCAGAAUAUCAUUUUACGGCAUCGUAGAAUGAUCAAAUACUUAUAGGAUUAAGAUGGGCAUGCGUGACAUUAGAUAGUUGGUGAGGUAACGGCUCACCAAGGCUACGAGGUCUAGGGGAUCUGAGAGGGUGACCCCCCACACUGGUACUGAGACACGGACCAGACUCCUACGGGAGGCAGCAGUAAGGAAUAUUGGUCAAUGGAGGCAACUCUGAACCAGCCAUGCCGCGUGCAGGAAGACGGCCCUAUGGGUUGUAAACUGCUUUUAUACGGGAAUAAACCUCUCUACGUGUAGGGAGUUGAAUGUACUGUAAGAAUAAGGAUCGGCUAACUCCGUGCCAGCCGCCGCCGUAACAC
rnacentral:rRNA from 1 species